rnacentral:lncRNA from 10 species
GUUUUAACUUUUAUUUCCAUUGGCAGUCUUUAGGUCUUACAACUUCCUGAAGGUGCAGAUUUGGGCAGAAGUAGUACCUUCCCCUCGCAGUCUAGCUGAGGAAACAUUUUGUCUCUGCUGUAUGACAGAGAAGUAGAAGGGGCCAAGUGAACCAGCCACAUUCAAAGACACAGAAACGACAAUGAAUGUGAACGUUUGUUUUGACUGCCUAGCACCUCAAGGACAACAGAAGUGAAAGUCUGCAAAACAUCUGGGGUUUGAUAGAUACCCACACAGAUUCACAAUAAGCUGGAUUCUGAAGGACUACGUGUUUAUCUUAAGGUCAGAAGCAGUCAUACUUACUGGCUUAUGGAUGGUGCCCCAUCUAAGACUGAGAAAACUGGCACAUGCUUUGCAAGUGGCUUACUUCCUGAGAAGCAUGUUGUUAUUUUCCCUGGCUCCUUCUGGCAUCUGUAUCCUCUCAUCAGCCUGCUUCAUUUGAUAAUAUUAUAAGAUCUCUCAGAAAUGCUGUUCACGUCUGCCUAUUUUAGCAUUGUCUACUAAUACAGAGGAAAGUAGUAUAUUUUGAGCAGUUUUUCGUGUAUCAGGUGUAAACCUAGACAGUUAUCUGUGAUAUAGAUCAGUAACCAUUUUAAUGAGAAAAUUGUUAUACAAAAGUCAAGUCAUUUGCUCACUACCAUGCUGUUUGUAACUGAAGAAGCAUAAGUUCAAACCCAUCUCUGCACGCCACCCCAGAAAUUCUAAUUUAAUCAACCUUGGGUGGGCCCCAGGCCUUGACUUAUUUUUAUGGGAAUAAUAAAUGUUUUGAAGAAGCAGCCAGGAUUGAGAAUGUCUACAUUAAGAAGCUCUCCUGAAUAAUGAAGAAAAAAAAAUGAGCUUGAUCUACGCCAGCUCUCAGGAAAUGCAUGAUGUCUUUGAACAAGACUUACCCUUUGCCUGCAUGCUUUCUUGCUUUCUUCUCUCACUCUGGCAUCACCCUCUGAUAUCCCAUUCCUGAUAUUUCUUUAGAUUUGGAAGAUGCCUUAACCAAAACAUUUUAGAUACAUCACUAAUGGUUUUCAACUUUUUCUACUAUCUAUAUGUUACAUUGGUACCCCUGAAACUUAUGUAUAUGUUGAAUUUAGACUUUCAUGAUCACUAAUAAAAAAAAAGCUGUGUGAAUUAUCCCUAGGACAUUUUUGGAGGCCAAAAGUUCUGUUUGACAGUGGCAUGUAUGUUGUGCAGUGUUUGUGGACUUACAUGAAUAUUGACUGAAUUUUAUAAUUUUUUAAAGAAAGGUUAAAAUUUUAAAAAAGAAAGCGAUACAUCAAUCUAAGUUUCAUAAUUCUAACACAUUUGAGACUAAAUUGCCAAGUAGUUGAUACUCAUUUUGUUGUUCCAGUUGAAUGAUUGAAUAAAUGAAUGAAUGAAAUGAAAUGCGUGUACUGAAAGCAAACAAUUGAUGACCUUAAUGAACCUCAAUAUGCAUUGGGCUUACACUCAUUAUUGUUGUGUUCAAUUAUAA